UGGGGAAUAUUGCACAAUGGAGGGAACUCUGAUGCAGCGACGCCGCGUGAGUGAUGAAGGACUUCGUUUCGUAAAACUCUGUUCUAUGGGAAGAAAAGGACUGUACCAUAGGAGAAAGCUCCGGCUAAAUACGUGCCAGCAGCCGCGGUAAUACGUAUGGAGCGAGCGUUGUCCGGAAUUAUUGGGCGUAAAGGGUGCGCAGGCGGCUUUACAAGUUGGAUGUGAAAUAUUGUGGCUCAACCACAAACGUGCAUCCAAAACUGCAAAGCUGGAGUUAAGGAGAGGUAAGUGGAAUGCCUGGUGUAGCGGUGGAAUGCGUAGAUAUCAGGAGGAAUACCGGUGGCGAAGGCGACUUACUGGACUUAAACUGACGCUCAGGCACGAAAGCGUGGGGAGCAAACAGG
rnacentral:rRNA from 1 species